GACGAACGCUGGCGGCGUGCUUAACACAUGCAAGUCGAACGGAAAGGCCCUGCUUUUGUGGGGUGCUCGAGUGGCGAACGGGUGAGUAACACGUGAGUAACCUGCCCUUGACUUUGGGAUAACUUCAGGAAACUGGGGCUAAUACCGGAUAGGAGCUCCUGCUGCAUGGUGGGGGUUGGAAAGUUUCGGCGGUUGGGGAUGGACUCGCGGCUUAUCAGCUUGUUGGUGGGGUAGUGGCUUACCAAGGCUUUGACGGGUAGCCGGGCUGGGAGGGUGACCGGACACAUUGGGACUGAGAUGCGGCCCAGACUCCUACGGGAGGCAGCAGUGGGGAAGGGAGCACAAUGGGCGGAAGCCUGAUGCAGCAACGCCGCGUGCGGGAUGACGGCCUGCGGGUUGUAAACCGCUUUCGCCUGUGACGAAGCGUGAGUGACGGUAAUGGGUAAAUAAGCACCGGCUAACUACGUG
rnacentral:rRNA from 1 species